rnacentral:tRNA from 1 species
AGUCCCGUAGCUCAGUUGGGAGAGCAACUGACUCUUAAUCAGUGGGUCGUGUGUUCGAAUCACAUCGGGACUACUU